rnacentral:rRNA from 1 species
CAGAGGGGGCUAGCGUUGUUCGGAAUUACUGGGCGUAAAGGGCGCGUAGGCGGCCUGCUAAGUCGAUCGUGAAAUCCCCGGGCUUAACCCGGGAACUGCGACCGAUACUGGUUGGCUUGAAUCCGGGAGAGGGAUGUGGAAUUCCAGGUGUAGCGGUGAAAUGCGUAGAGAUCGGGAGGAAGGCCGGUGGCGAAGGCGGCGCUCUGGACGGAUACUGACGCUGAGACGCGAAAGCGUGGGGAGCAAACAGGA